GUCGAGAGGCUUCUACAAUGGGGGAAACCCUGAUAGAGCGACGCCGCGUGGGUGAUGAAGGUCUUCGGAUCGUAAAGCCCUUUCAGCAGGGAAGAAUGGAUAGGUGCUAAUACCAUCACAUCCAAGACGGUACCUGCAGAAGAAGCUCCGGCUAACUCCGUGCCAGCAGCCGCGGUAAGACGGAGGGAGCAAGCGUUGUUCGGAUUUACUGGGCGUAAAGGGCGUCUAGGCGGGUUGGUCAGUCAGAUGUGAAACCCCCCGGCUCAACCGGGGAUCUGCAUUUGAUACUGCCGAUCUUGAGUACGGAAGAGGAAAGCGGAAUUCCUGGUGUAGCGGUGAAAUGCGUAGAUAUCAGGAAGAACACCGGUGGCGAAGGCGGCUUUCUGGUCCGAUACUGACGCUAAAGCGCGAAAGUGUGGGGAGCAAACAGGAUUAGAUACCCCUGUAGUCC
rnacentral:rRNA from 1 species